rnacentral:ncRNA from 1 species
UUUCCUCCCACCCGCGGGAGGUUUAAACGCGCGGGACGGCGCACCGGGGAGCGGCCCCGGAUCUACAAGCUAAAGCGACGCCGGAGAAAGGAGAA